UAAUACGUAGGCAGCAAGCGUUGUUCGGAGUUACUGGGCGUAAAGGGUGUGUAGGCGGUUGGAUAAGAGUGGUGUGAAAUCUCCCGGCUUAACUGGGAGGGUGCGCUACAGACUGUCUGACUAGAGUGUGGGAUGGGAGAGUGGAAUUCCUGGUGUAGCGGUGAAAUGCGUAGAUAUCAGGAGGAACACCGGUGGUGUAGACGGCUCUCUGGACCAUAACUGACGCUGAGACACGAAAGCGUGGGUAGCAAACAGGAUUAGAUACCCUGGUAGUCCACGCCCUAAACGAUGCAUAUUUGGUGUGGGUCAUUCAUUUGAUCCGUGCCGGAGCUAACGCGUUAAAUAUGCCGCCUGGGGAGUACAGUCGCAAGGCUG
rnacentral:rRNA from 1 species